GGGGCUGUGGUUUCAGAGGCUGACGCAGCUGGCUGGCCUUCUGCUCCUUGUCUCCCGGAGGCUCCCUGCCCUCAGCAAUAGAAGGUAAGACAAGGAUCACAUCCCAAGGUGGGAGGGGGCUCGUGCCAGCCCUGAAGGUGGUUGGAAGGUCUUUUUGUAGCAGCCAGGAAGGGCUGGCUCUGCUUCUAGAUCCACAAAGCUGCUUGGAUGGGGGCCGUCUCAGGCGGAGGGCCACGAGGGCUGAGGAGUGCAGGUCUACUCUGCCUCGGGCUGCCCAGGCGACAUGCCCAGGGGUCUGUGUUUCUCCUGGAGCCUGUCAGGUUUGGGAGCACCCAGUGUGGUGGCCCAAGGUCCGAGGUCCAAUCUAGGGAGGCAGUGGUGUUGGUGAACCUGGCCAUGCUAACUUUGCUUAACUCUACCAAAAAAAAAAAAAAAAGAAAAAAAAAAAAA
rnacentral:lncRNA from 1 species